rnacentral:lncRNA from 1 species
UAUGAACAAUAAAAGAGGAUCCUUGGGCUGCUGAGAUGAUUCAGUGGAUACAGCUGCUUUCUGCCAAGUGGGAUGACCUGAAUAUGAUCCCUGGAACCCACAUGGUGGAAGGAAGAGAACCAACUUCCACAAAGCUGUCCUCUGACUCCACACGUAUUCUGUGACACGCAGACGUGCACCCGCGCACAUGCAUGCAUGCAUGCAGAAGCAAUAAAGGUAAAAUAAAUCAAAAGAUCUUGUUUAAGGUAAACCAGAAGGACCAGCACCUGAGAUGUCCUCUGCCCUUCACACAUGCACCGUCACACACACACCAUGGCACACACGUGCUGUGUCACACAUGCUAACACUCACACAUACACAGGCGUACAUCAUGCACACAUAAAAUUUUGGAAAAAAAAACCCUUGCAACUGCAUUGAAUACGUGCACAUAUCUUUUAUUCUUGUUAUCCUCUAAACAAAACAAUGUAGUAUCUCUCUAGCACUUACAUUGCAUCAGUCACUAUAAGCAAUACAGGGAUAAUUUAUAAUGCAUGGGAGGGUGCUUGCAGAUUAUAUGCAAAUUAGAUGCCAGUAAAUAUGGAGGAGUAACUACAAGCUAGUACACACACACACACACACACACACUCCAUUUCCUUGUGAGUAAAAAAGUGCUUAAUUAGGAUAUGUGAUGUAGACACACUUGGUUUAUAGAUAGAAGAUUCCAGAAGACAUAUUUUAAUAAGGCACCAUGUGUAUGAACUGAAAUAGCAGAUGAAUUCAACUGUGUCCCCUCACUCAUUUGUGUUUUCAAAAUUUGUUUCCAGUGAGAGCCCCUUCUAUAACUAAGAGAAUGCUAUUUUUACAAUGAAUGUUUCACUGCUGUUUGAACGCUGUACUGUAGAAGGCACAGACUGAGAUGCUGGAUCAACUGCGCAUGCCUGUCUUUGUGACCGGCUGCUAUCGAUCCUUCCGAGCCCGUGUGCCACGCUGGAAAGCUGCAUCUAAGAGUUAAGAUUGAACUGACAUCCUAGCAGGCUCCUGGGCGAUGCAGAUGCUGGCAUUCUGGGCACUGCCCUUUGGAAAGCUAUGAUGACCACUGAAGCAGAACAGACCAAAGCAAAGAGGUGGGAAAGUCGCGAGAAGAUACAGGACUGGCUGGGAUACAUCAGGAAGAGGAGCUGCGAUGGAUGGGACUUCAAAUGGAAGUUGGUGAUUAUAUCCGUCCCAGCACCUCCCGCCUUGCAAGAGAGGCCUUAUAAAUCCUGGUCACAAGGAAGGGAAACAGAAGCUCAAGGAAGAGAGAGCCAUGGCUUCCUAGGUGUCAGUGAAGACCCAGACGCUGAAACUAUAACCGCCUAGUUCAGAAACCUAUACUUUGCUUGACCACAAUCCAAGCAGGGGGUGGGGAUGGGAUGUUUUUCUGCAGGGCUGGACAUAGAGUCAGUGUUCAGAGCACAUUGUUGGAGAGAGGAAGGAUGGGUGAGUGAAUAAGUGAAGAAAUGAAUGAGAGAACAGAACCACUUUGAGAGCCUGGAAACCGGGACCUCACGCUCUGUGACCUCACGCUCCAACUUCCCCUCCUCCCCGAGUCUGAUCUGAAAGGUGACCCCCGUUCCUCUCGCCCAGGUGAUAAAGCCAGGUGCAGGUGCACCUGUUACCCAAACCUGAUAUCCAAAUAGGAAGUAAGGCUGAGAUAAGGCUGUGGAGGGCAGUGCCUGGAAUCACGGGGUUGGGCUGGCCAUUGGCUUGAUGCCACAAGUGUCCACCGAGCCUCUCCUAAAGGUUGAGCUCUAUGCCAGGUUCCUUCAGGGUGAGGCAGGAAGCCACGCAGCUCCUGACCUCCAACAGCUUAUGGAAAAAAAAAAUACUUACAAACAGGAUGUGGGUCGGGCAAAGGGAGAAGUGUGAAGCAGGUGG